rnacentral:rRNA from 1 species
UACGUAGGGUGCAAGCGUUGUCCGGAAUUAUUGGGCGUAAAGAGCUCGUAGGCGGUCUGUCGCGUCGGCUGUGAAAACUCGGGGCUCAACCCCGAGCCUGCAGUCGAUACGGGCAGACUAGAGUGCGGUAGGGGAGACUGGAAUUCCUGGUGUAGCGGUGAAAUGCGCAGAUAUCAGGAGGAACACCGGUGGCGAAGGCGGCCCUCUGGACGGAUACUGACGCUGAGGCGCGAAAGCGUGGGGAUCAAACAGG